AUACGGAGGGUGCAAGCGUUAUCCGGAAUCAUUGGGUUUAAAGGGUCCGUAGGCGGACUAUUAAGUCAGAGGUGAAAUCCCACAGCUCAACUGUGGAACUGCCUUUGAUACUGUUAGUCUUGAGUUAUAUGGAAGUAGAUAGAAUGUGUAGUGUAGCGGUGAAAUGCUUAGAGAUUACACAGAAUACCGAUUGCGAAGGCAGUCUACUACAUAUAUUCUGACGCUAAUGGACGAAAGCGUGGGGAGCGAACAGGAUUAGAAACCCUAGUAGUCC
rnacentral:rRNA from 1 species